rnacentral:lncRNA from 1 species
UUACAUUCCAUAAAAGUUUACGUUCCGUAAAGGUUCGCGCAUGCGCACAUUCCAUCCGGCAUCCGGUAACACAGUAACGUAAACAUGUAUACGUACAAGCUAAAAGUCCCAAUU